ACCACUGUCGGGAGUGGAUUGGUGCGAACGUGGUUACGCGAUCGCGGUUUUCGCGUGUCGCUCCCGCUUCGUCGCGGGGGUGGUUCGCCUCUCACAACCGUCGUUCGUUCGUUGUCGUUUACGAGCCGGCGCGACGGCUCGCGCUCGUUUGACAAGGCGGGAUAUGCAUAUGGUGGAAUAAGCGGAACUAUCAAACUUCCUACUAAACAUAAGAUAGGAUAAACAUAAACAAAAACUGAUAGCGGUGUUGUGCGAACAGAAAGUAUACUGUGUUAUUGAAUUGUGAAGCUUACAUUGUAUCUUAUAGUUUAUGGUACGUACCAGUGACGUGAUAGAGCUUCGUUGAUAAUGUCUAAAAUGCGAAAAUAGAUAAAAAGUGGAAAAGAAUCGUUUUCAAAAUCUAUACACAACAAAACAAAGAUAUGAUGAGGAAACGUAUUUAUGCGGAAUGUUUCGUGUGAACGUGAGAAGUGUUACUGACAUGAGCCGACGAUUCCAGUUUGCUUGCGCCGGGGCCAAUUAUCGAUAUAAUCAUUUGGAGAACUAGAGGGGGCCAGGGAAUAUCCAACGCUAAUUUGGAAAGGUUUCGGUGUUUUGCCAGAUAAUGCAAAUACUAGAACCAUUCUGAGGCGACCAUCUCCGCUUUGCUGUGGGCUGUAGUACGGAACAGCCGAAAUUGCGCGGAUCGGGAGCCCCGCAAGAGAAACAAUGGGAAUGUAUUCUUGAACCGUUGUAUUCAAUUUCGGCUGAUUAGCACUACAAUAUUCCUCCAGAAAGUGGAAUGUCAACUGACACGGAACCGGAACCACGAACUCAGUGGGUCAUUCAGUUGAUCUGCAAAUUGCAUGAACUUCCAUAGAUUUCAUCGAGAAGAAUUGUUAUAUUUUGUUGCUUUAAAAGAAGAGAGGAGUAAAUGAUCUGGAAACGUUGUUAUACGAACGAGAUGUAGAGGUAUACUCUUUGAUGAAUGACACACAUUAGUAAGAGCAAACUUUUAAAUACUCGAGUUUAGAUUUUUCAUCUUCAAACCUACAAAAUACACUAUCCAUUGCAAACACAUCAACAACAUCUGAUGGAAGAUGGCAAGCAUAAACUUGACAGUUUGAUAACGUUUGCUCUUUAUGUUUAGAUUAUGGGAAUAUAGUUGAAAUAUAAAAAAAACAAUCACCACAAAAAGGUUAGUGCAAAAAUGUGCUAACGUAUAGAGCCAGAUAAAAACAUAUUAUGAAAGUUGCUUUCCUUCUCCUUUUAAUAAUAAUGAAUCAUGAUUUGAAAAAAAAAAUUAUGCUAGGUUGCCACAAACCAAUGACAACGCCAUGAUAUUGUUCAAUCGUAGGAGCGUUCAUUGUUAAAAAAAACAAAAAUGUUUGAAGAUGAUUGCUUUUGUUGCACCUAGCUUUGACGAUGGCGGGACUUUCACAUUAAUUGAUGCGAGGAUUAAUUGAUACGAAACAUCAAACGAAGCUGAUAACUGAAACGGAAGAGCUUAAUGAUGCUGUUAAUAAGAUGAACAUAAGUUCUGUGUAAUUAACACUGUAGAAAAGUGAAAAUAAAAUCUUUU